CUUGUCUCCGAUCCCCUGCAUAGGGGUGCCUGCCCUUCUCCCCAUGACACCACAUAAAGUCAGCCAUAGACAAGCCAUAAGAUAGAGAAGCUGAGGGCACGACUAGGCAAUGAUUUUGAUAUUGUUUGAUGAGUUCAGACCCUCAGCCUCACCUUCAAGGAUUCAUACUCCAAGGUGUGUAAUACUGUCACAGGAGGUCAUCAGUGCCCCCCCUCCCAGAAGGAGAGGGGGCAAAGAGCUGGGGUACACAGUGGAGGAAGCAAGCACUGCUCUGGCUAAGAGAUGGGAUUUCUGUGUUUGAGGACAGGAGGAUUGAAGCCUGCUAUGAUGCCAAAGAAACAAGUCUGCUUGCUGGCUAAAGCCAACAUGAGCCUUCCAUAUUUCUCUUCUGUUCUGGUACCUUGGUCAACAUCCUCAAUCUCCAGGAUUCUUGAGGAUCCCUCAUCUUUGUUGCUGCUCAAUGAAGGAACACCGGUGUCCCCACCAGGAAUACUAUUCCCUGGUGUCCUCACAAUUGUCAAAGGGGAGAUCAACACCUUCAUCUGGUCCAAUGAAGAAAUGAGAAGAAGGUCUCUUCUUCAUUCAUAUUAUACUUUAUGACAAAGCAUCUAGCAGUAAUGCAUCUCCCAAGAUUUGUCAUCUCAACAGUUUCUUUGGCUGAUGCUUAUCCUUGGGACCAGGAGCCACUGUAGCACCCCAAGCAGCAGCUAGAGCAGCGCCACUGGCUCCUUCCCCGGGAACCACACUGGGCAUCUCAGCAGCAGCCCCAGGGCUGUGAACUGUGUCUGUGAGCAGCUGGGCUCUAUCUCCAUUGAUUUUGUGCAUCUGUGUCCUAAGGUACCAGAAAUUCCUAAGAGAGGUUAUUUUGGGAUCAGAGAACCCUCAAACAUUUUUCCAUAUAAAUUAAUGUAAUUGCUUCUUCACUUCAGGCCAUCCCAGUUUACAAAAGGAUGGCAGGGGAGGUGAGGGGAAUCUGUAUUUAGUUUUUCUAUAACGUUUUAUUUUCUCUGUAUUUAGUUUUUCUAUAACCUUUUAUUUUCUCAUCCUUUAACAUCAUGGUUCUGUUUCUCACUGGGCACAUUAAAACUGUAUUCUAACUA